rnacentral:rRNA from 1 species
AGUGGAAUGAGCGGCGGACGGGUGAGUAACACGUAAGGAACCUGCCUCAAGGAUUGGGAUAACUCCGAGAAAUCGGAGCUAAUACCGGAUAGUUCUUCGGACCGCAUGGUCCGAUGAUGAAAGGCGCUCCGGCGUCACCUUGAGAUGGCCUUGCGGUGCAUUAGCUAGUUGGUGGGGUAAUGGCCUACCAAGGCGACGAUGCAUAGCCGACCUGAGAGGGUGAUCGGCCACACUGGGACUGAGACACGGCCCAGACUCCUACGGGAGGCAGCAGUAGGGAAUCUUCCACAAUGGACGAAAGUCUGAUGGAGCAACGCCGCGUGAGUGAUGAAGGUUUUCGGAUCGUAAAACUCUGUUGUAAGGGAAGAACAGAUACGAGAGGUAAUGCUCGUAUCCUGACGGUACCUUGCGAGAAAGCCACGGCUAACUACGUGCCAGCAGCCGCGGUAAUACGUAGGUGGCAAGCGUUGUCCGGAAUUAUUGGGCGUAAAGCGCGCGCAGGCGGCCUUUUAAGUCUGAUGUGAAAGCCCCCGGCUCAACCGGGGAGGGUCAUUGGAAACUGGAAGGCUUGAGUACAGAAGAGAAGAGUGGAAUUCCAUGUGUAGCGGUGAAAUGCGUAGAGAUGUGGAGGAACACCAGUGGCGAAGGCGACUCUUUGGUCUGUAACUGACGCUGAGGCGCGAAAAGCGUGGGGAGCAAACAGGAUUAGAUACCCUGGUAGUCCACGCCCGUAACGAU